GACGAACGCUGGCGGCGUGCUUAACACAUGCAAGUCGAACGGAAAGGCCCUGCUUGCAGGGUACUCGAGUGGCGAACGGGUGAGUAACACGUGGGUGAUCUGCCCUGCACUUCGGGAUAAGCCUGGGAAACUGGGUCUAAUACCGGAUAGGAGCCAUUUUUAGUGUGAUGGUUGGAAAGUUUUUUCGGUGUAGGAUGAGCUCGCGGCCUAUCAGCUUGUUGGUGGGGUAAUGGCCUACCAAGGCGGCGACGGGUAGCCGGCCUGAGAGGGUGGACGGCCACAUUGGGACUGAGAUACGGCCCAGACUCCUACGGGAGGCAGAAGUGGGGAAUAUUGCACAAUGGGCGCAAGCCUGAUGCAGCGACGCCGCGUGGGGGAUGACGGCCUUCGGGUUGUAAACUCAUUUCGCUAGGGACGAAGCUUUUUGUGACGGUACCUAGAGAAGAAGCACCGGCUAACUACGUG
rnacentral:rRNA from 1 species